rnacentral:lncRNA from 1 species
UUGUUUCGGUAGUUGCGACCCGAAUUUGAUUUUUAUAGUUACAAAAGCAGAGUUGUUCGACCAAUUCAGGUUUGUGAGUGAGCAACAUUAACAAGAUGAAGAACAUCAUAGAACAAGAUGAAUAUCAGCAACAUAGAACAAGAUGAAGAACAACAUAUAUAGAAUAACACAAAAAUCCACAAAAAUAAGGUCAUGAAAUAUCAAUUUCAGAAAGAAUUAAAGAGGGUCAAAUUGAAGUCCUGAAAUAUCAAUUUCAGGUUCAGAUACAUAUAAUUAGGCUCAAAUAUGGAGAAA